CUUGCUUUGAAGUCUCCAAACAAGCCUGUGGCAUUCAUGAUAGUGUUUUUGUGCCAGCAUAUUAAAGGGGGUCGUAACUGUAGAGCUAGUUGGAUUGUAUCUUAACUUUAGAAAAUUGACUAUUUCUAUAAGGAAACAAGCUUCCAAACAAAAAGUUAACACAGUUUUUGACAGCAUCUUAGCUAACAGAGACAACUGAUUUCUAGGCAUUUUGGGGAAGACAAACUACUGAAACUUUGUGGCUCUUACUCUAAGGAAAAAAAAGGAGUUCAAGUAUAGCCACUGCUAUUGCUAGAUGAUAUGGCAUUUUUCCUACAGUUCAGUUGUCAAGGAUGCACCAAAACAGCUCUGUGUUGCUUCUUGGUCUCAGGCCAAGUGGGGCAGGUGAAGUGCUGCACAAUGGAGGGAAAAGCAGACGGACGGCGGCAAGAGGGAAGGACUUGUCAAUGCUCCCUAAAACGGCAGAUGGUGCUGAAGGCCAGGGCAGCGCACACGAACUGGGGACGCGCUCCAGCUCUGACCAGGAUAUGGCUUUCCUGGUUCUUGCCAUUUGGAACUGUUCUUCUGGUGUCU
rnacentral:lncRNA from 1 species